rnacentral:rRNA from 1 species
UUCUUCGGAGCCCGAGUAAAGCGGCGAAAGGGUGAGUAGUACCUAGGUAACCUGCCCCAAAGCCGGGGAUAACGUCUGGAAACGGACGCUAAUACCCGAUGUGGCAGCGGGUCUUCGGAUCUGCUGUCAAAGAUAGCCUCUGUUUACAAGCUUUCGCUUUGGGAGGGGCCUCGGGCCUAUCAGCUUGUUGGUGAGGUAACGGCUCACCAAGGCAGGGACGGGUAGCCGGUCUGAGAGGAUGGUCGGCCACACUGGGACUGAGACACUGCCCAGACUCCUACGGGAGGCUGCAGUCGAGGAUCUUCCGCAAUGGACGAAAGUCUGACGGAGCGACGCCGCGUGCGGGAGGAAGGCCUUCGGGUUGUAAACCGCUGUUACCCGUUAAGAAUGCUCGAUCGUGAAUAGCGGUCGGGUUGACGUAAGCGGGGGAGGAAGCCACGGCUAACUUCGUGCCAGCAGCCGCGGUAAUACGAAGGUGGCAAGCGUUGUUCGGAAUCACU